rnacentral:rRNA from 1 species
UACGUAGGGGGCGAGCGUUGUCCGGAUUUAUUGGGCGUAAAGAGCGUGUAGGCGGCCAGGUAGGUCUGCUGUGAAAACUCGAGGCUCAACCUCGAGACGUCGGCGGAAACCACCUGGCUAGAGUCCGGAAGAGGAGAGCGGAAUUCCACGUGUAGCGGUGAAAUGCGUAGAGAUGUGGAGGAACACCAGUGGCGAAGGCGGCUCUCUGGUCUGUAACUGACGCUGAGGCGCGAAAGCGUGGGGAGCAAACAGG